GAUGAACGCUGGCGGCGUGCCUAAUACAUGCAAGUCGAGCGAACAGACGAGGAGCUUGCUCCUCUGACGUUAGCGGCGGACGGGUGAGUAACACGUGGAUAACCUACCUAUAAGACUGGGAUAACUUCGGGAAACCGGAGCUAAUACCGGAUAAUAUAUUGAACCGCAUGGUUCAAUAGUGAAAGACGGUUUUGCUGUCACUUGUGGAUGGAUCCGCGCGGCAUUAGCUAGUUGGUAAGGUAACGGCUUACCAAGGCAACGAUGGGUAGCCGACAUGAGGGGGUGACGGGAGAAAGUGGGAAUGAGAUAGGGCGCAGGCGUGUAUGGGAGGCAGCAGUGGGGAACAUGUAACACUGGGAGGCAGCAGGAUGCAAAAACGUCGAGUGAGGGAUGACGGCUUGAGGGUUGUAAAACGCUGUGGCCGGUGACGCAGCGGGAGUGACGGUAAUGGGUAAAGAAGCACCGGCUAACUACGUG
rnacentral:rRNA from 1 species